AACGAACGCUGGCGGCAUGCCUAACACAUGCAAGUCGAACGAACCCGCCGGGGUUAGGGGCGCACGGGGGGUAAACGCGGGGGAAUCGGCCCUUCGCUUAGCCAUCCUUCAGGAACCCUUGUGCUAAUACCGUACGAUGUCUUAGGACCAAAGAUCUAUCGGCAAGGGAUGAGCCCGCGUAGGAUUAGGGGGUUGGUGGGGUAAAGGCCUACCAAGCCGACGAUCCUUAGCUGGUCUGAGAGGAUGAUCAGCCACGCUGGGACUGAGACACGGCCCAGACUCAUAAGGGAGGCAGCAGAGGGGAAUAACGGACAACGGGCGCGAGCCUGAGCCAUCACUGCCGCGUGAGUGAUGAAGGGCCUCGUGUCGUAAAUCUGUUUUAACAGAGAUGUGAUUGACGGUACCUGGGGAAUAAGCGCCGGCUAACUCCGUG
rnacentral:rRNA from 1 species